rnacentral:rRNA from 1 species
GGACGAACGCUGGCGGCGUGCUUAACACAUGCAAGUCGAGCGGUAAGGCCCUUCGGGGUACACGAGCGGCGAACGGGUGAGUAACACGUGGGUGAUCUGCCUCGCACUCUGGGAUAAGCCUGGGAAACUGGGUCUAAUACCGGAUAUGAACAUGGUCUGCAUGGAUUGUGUUGGAAAGGUUUACUGGUGCGAGAUGGGCCCGCGGCCUAUCAGCUUGUUGGUGGGGUAACGGCCUACCAAGGCGACGACGGGUAGCCGACCUGAGAGGGUGACCGGCCACACUGGGACUGAGACACGGCCCAGACUCCUACGGGAGGCAGCAGUGGGGAAUAUUGCACAAUGGGCGAAAGCCUGAUGCAGCGACGCCGCGUGGGGGAUGACGGCCUUCGGGUUGUAAACCCCUUUCGACAGGGACGAAGCGCAAGUGACGGUACCUGUAGAAGAAGCACCGGCCAACUACGU